rnacentral:misc_RNA from 1 species
UCGUAACAAGGUUUCCGUAGGUGAACCUGCGGAAGGAUCAUUACUGUGAUUUAUACACCACACUGCGUGGGCGACACGAAACACCGAAACCGAACGCACGCCGUCAAGCAAGAAAUCCACAAAACUUUCAACAACGGAUCUCUUGGUUCUCGCAUCGAUGAAGAGCGCAGCGAAAUGCGAUACCUAGUGUGAAUUGCAGCCAUCGUGAAUCAUCGAGUUCUUGAACGCACAUUGCGCCCGCUGGUAUUCCGGCGGGCAUGCCUGUCUGAGCGUCGUUUCCUUCUUGGAGCGCAGCUUCAGACCUGGCGGGCUGUCUUUGUGGACGGCGCGCCCAAAGCGAGGGGCCUUCUGCGCGAACUAGACUGUGCGCGCGGGGCGGCCGGCGAACUUAUUACCAAGCUCGACCUCAGAUCAGGCAGGAGUACCCGCUGAACUUAAGCAUAUCAAUAA